rnacentral:misc_RNA from 1 species
AUCUCUCAACACAAGAGACUUUGUUUUUUGUGCUUGGAUGUUGAAGGCUUUGCUGGCCAACCAACUGUCAGCUCCUUUUAAAUGCAUUAGCAGAGCAAUGUUAGGACUGGCCUCAGUUUGAUAAGAAGUUUUUAUCUGUGCUGUCGCUGGAUUUCCUCUUGUGCUUAGCUUCAAAUUGUCUUUGGACUGCCUCUUUGAGGCAAUGUAUUAUUAUU